rnacentral:rRNA from 1 species
CUGAUGCAGCGACGCCGCGUGAGGGAUGACGGCCUUCGGGUUGUAAACCUCUUUCAGUAGGGAAGAAGCGAGAGUGACGGUACCUGCAGAAGAAGCGCCGGCUAACUACGUGCCAGCAGCCGCGGUAAUACGUAGGGCGCAAGCGUUAUCCGGAUUUAUUGGGCGUAAAGAGCUCGUAGGCGGUUUGUCGCGUCUGCCGUGAAAGUCCGAGGCUCAACCUCGGAUCUGCGGUGGGUACGGGCAGACUAGAGUGAUGUAGGGGAGACUGGAAUUCCUGGUGUAGCGGUGAAAUGCGCAGAUAUCAGGAGGAACACCGAUGGCGAAGGCAGGUCUCUGGGCAUUUACUGACGCUGAGGAGCGAAAGCAUGGGGAGCGAACAGGAUUAGAUACCCUGGUAGUCCAUGCCGUAAACGUUGGGCACUAGGUGUGGGGGACAUUCCACGUUUUCCGCGCCGUAGCUAACGCAUUAAGUGCCCCGCCUGGGGAGUACGGCCGCAAGGCUAAAACUCAAAGGAAUUGACGGGGGCCCGCACAAGCGGCGGAGCAUGCGGAUUAAUUCGAUGCAACGCGAAGAACCUUACCAAGGCUUGACAUGUUCCAGACCGCCUCAGAGAUGGGGUUUCCCUUCGGGGCUGGUUCACAGGUGGUGCAUGGUUGUCGUCAGCUCGUGUCGUGAGAUGUUGGGUUAAGUCCCGCAACGAGCGCAACCC